UUGGUUUCUCCUCCUCUGCGGCUGCUGGAACUGCUGGUUCCUCCGCGGGUGCUGGUGGUGCUGCGGCGGCUGUGACUUCAACAAUUGUCUCCUUGAUUUCCUCCACGGUUUUAGCACCGUCAUCUUCCACCACUGCUGCAACCUUUUCGGUCACUUUCUCCGAUGACUCUGCGGCCGCCGGUGCUGCUGGUGGUGGAAUUGCUUUCUCCUCCUCUUUCUUCUCUUCCACCGCUGCCAGAGCUGGUGGUGGAGUUUCUUUCUUCUCUUCCACCACCGCCGCUGGAGCUGGUGGUGGAGUUUCUUUCUUCACUUCUUCCUUCACUGGCUCCGCUAUCGCCGGGGUCUCAGCCGGAACAUCAGCUGCGGCGGUAGUUUCAGCAGCAGCAACAGCAGGUUCUUCCUUUUUCUCUUCCUCCUCUGGGGCAGCGGCAGCGGCAGGUUCAGCUGUUUCAGCAUCUGGUUUUUUCUCCUCCUCCUUGGCCGGAGGGGGUGGCGGCGGAGCAGUGAAUUCAUGUUUGUUCAGAGCCUCUUGAACCAACUGUUUCAACUCCGCUAAAGCCUUUUGUUCAGGAUUUGGGAGCUCUUCAACUUUGUUACUCUCUUCCUUAAACGAAGCAGAUUCAGCAACAGCAUCUUUUUCCUUAUCAGUUUCAGCUUCAGUACUUUCCUCCGGCGCCGGAGCAGCAGAUUUCUCCGGCGUGUCAGGGACAGGUACCGGUUCAGGUUG
rnacentral:lncRNA from 1 species